GAAAAUCAGAUCUGACGUUAGGUGUUUGGGACUUAGCUGAGGUCGUAUGUAGUCAUAGUUGGGCCUGAACUGCCCUGGGAUGUGGAAAGACAACGCGAUGCAGAUCCAAGUCGCCUGUUUUCCACUUGGGCGUUUGAUGCUGGGGCUGUAACAUUUGUGUGUUACAGGUUGUGUCGUAGGUAAAACCGCUGGGGUCAUGCCCUGCUCCAGUGAGUUUGGGUCCUGCUUCAAGGGUGUUCUGGAGCUGCUUUUCUCUAAAGGCAAGGGCACAGGAGGGAAGACAGUCUCCAGAGCUUUUACUCUUGUACUGAGCCAAGAUGAUGCCUCUGACCAUUCACAAAUGAUGCAGGAACAGAUGACUGGAGCUGCUAUGACUACGCCUGCAACAGAACACCAACAAAGCUUUCAAGAGAACAUGGGAAAUUUGGGGGCUGACAGUUUGCCUGUGGCUAUUAGAUGGAAUUGAAGAGGAGUUCAUGGCUAAAGACUGGUGACUCCAGUAGUAAAAAUUAGAAAAUGAGAAAAAACAAACUAUUAUUAAUAUACAAAACAUAGUAAAACUUCAUUCUGUGGAAAAAAAAUGUUGUCAAUUAUGCCAAAUUAUUAUGUUCACUCAGUAUGACUUUUAACCACAGGAAACUCUUGAUUUUGUGGGAUUAAAAAACCCUGCAUUUUACUGCUAAUCUUUUGUUUGUGUUUUUAUACUUUUCUUAACACGAAUAUGCAUUUUCAUUACAAAACAUGUAGCAACUAUGGAGAUGCAAAGUGAAGUUUCCUGUGGUUCAUGUGGAGCCUACAGAGUGACAGAACAAAUGUGUGAAAACCUUAUUCAAAUGAGCUCUUUUCAAAGUAAAUACCCAGAGCCAUAACAAAGUUAGCAAACAUUCUAUACUGCUUAAUAGCCACUAGUGAAAAAUCAGUUAUCUUGAGACCCUGCUGGGUUCUCAAGUGCCUUUGGGAUCAUCCACAGGUUAAAUAAUGUGAAGUCUUGAUCUGAUGUUCAUAAUAUAUAAAAUCUAUUGACAAAUCAUUGGUGCUAUACCGUAUAUGGCUACUCAGUAAAAGAAAAGAGCUCAGUUCCCAGUUAUUCUGUAUGAGACAGAAUUUACACAGAUAAGUAAGAAGGAAGAGAGGGUAAUUGCUGUCAGCACAUAGUUAAGGGUGGUCCUGCAAUAAUUUUAUCUGGAUCAACUGCCCUAAGGAAGAGUCAGGGUGCUAUUUCUGUACCAAGAGGCGAAUGUAAUUUGCAUGUUGAACGCUGCUAACAAGAACAAACAAUUUCAAUUCUACAAAUUAAACCAAGUUGU
rnacentral:lncRNA from 1 species